rnacentral:RNase_P_RNA from 1 species
CGACCGGUCUAGACGAUCGCUCCUGUUCUAAUUGCCGAAAGGUAUGCAGAAUAGGGGAGGAAAGUCCGAACAUCGGCACUCGCGAAAGCGAGUCGCAGAAGAGUAGCGGGUAACACCCGUCCGCCGUAAGGCGCGAGGUGCGAGCAGAGACGGUUCCAACGAAAGGCAGGAACCGUCUCGCGAUUCCGAAAGGAUUUGCGAGACGAGUCUCCAGGCGACUGGAGGAGUGAAACGGCUAAAUCCUUACUUCGAUGCAAGAUCGUGACCUACGAGAAACGAUUCGCAAGAGUCAUAUUCUGAAAGGUAGUGCCGCUUGAGAUGUAUGGCAACAUAUAUCCUAGAUAAAUGAUCGUCCACGACAGAAUUCGGCUUAUCGGACCGGUUACAAA